rnacentral:rRNA from 1 species
UGCAAGUCGAACGACCUCUUCGGAGGGAGUGGCGAAAGGGCGAGGAAUAGAAUCGAAUGUAUCUUAAGGUAGAGGAUAGCCCUUGGAAACGAGGGGUAAUACUCUAUGUGCUCUACGGAGGAAAGGUUUACCGCCUUAAGAGCAGCGAUUCUCCUAUCAGGUAGUUGGUGAGGUAAAGGCUCACCAAGCCGAAGACGGGUAGCGGGUGUGAGAGCAUGACCCGCCGCAUCGGGACUGAGACACUGCCCGGACUCCUACGGGAGGCUGCAGUAACGAAUCUUCCGCAAUGGGCGAAAGCCUGACGGAGCAAUGCCGCGUGUGGGAUUAAGCAUCUUCGAUGUGUAAACCACUGUCAGAAUCUAGAAAUACUGAUCAGAUUCAGAGGAAGGGCCGGCUAAUUCCGUGCCAGCAGCCGCGGUAAUACGGAAGGCCCGAGCGUUAUUCGGAAUCACUGGGCUUAAAGCGUACGCGGGCGGACUUGUAGGUAUCUUGUGAAAUCCCACGGCUCAACCGUGGAACUGCAGGGUAAACCACAAGUCUUGAGACAAGUAGGGGUCAGUGGAACGAUGUGUGGAGCGGUGAAAUGCGUAGAUAUACAUCGGAACGCCAAUGGCGAAGGCAGCUGACUGGGCUUGUUCUGACGCUCAGGUACGAAAGCGUGGGUAGCGAACGGGAUUAGAUACCCCGGUAGUCCACGCCGUAGACGAUGCACACUAGGUCGCGGUACCUCUCAUGGUUUCGCGGCCGGAGGUAAACUGGUAAGUGUGCCGCCUGGGGAGUACGGUCGCAAGGCUAAAACUCAAAGGAAUUGACGGGGGCUCACACAAGCGGUGGAGCAUGUUGCUUAAUUCGAGGCAACGCGAAGAACCUUACCUAGGCUUG